rnacentral:rRNA from 1 species
AUCAUUCACAAUUUCUUUUUUCCUUGUUCAAUCUUUGAACAGGGAAAAGAAUUGGAUUCACCCAGUCUAUUGAGACGAUUCCUGGGUUAACAAAGAAUGGACCAUUUUUUAAAACAUUGAAUUGUCAAAAAAAAAUACCAAUUGAUUUUUUUGAAAAAAGAGAUUGAACCUUUCAUUAGGUGCUUUGUCUUUUUUAAACAACUUUAAGCAAUGGAUCUCUUGGCUCUCGCAUCGAUGAAGAGCGUAGCAAAUUGCGAUAAUUAGUGCGAUCUGCAUUCUGCGAAUCAUCGAGUUCUUGAACGCACCUUGCACCCUUUGGCUUGUCCUUGGGGUAUGCUUGUUUCAGUACAACUACAAACCCCCAAAUGUCAUUUCUUGAUUAAAGAAUUGACCAUUGUGAUUGGGAUGUUAAAGGUUUGAACUUGACUGUUUGAACCUUUCAUCCUGAAAAUGAAUCCAUCGGAUACAUUUCAUCAAUUGGUUUUGUUUCCUUUGCAUUAAUUUUCUUGAUUGAAAAGCAUUGGGGAUUUGGCCAAUUUAAACAUCAAACUCGUUGUCUGAAAUCAAGUAGGAUUACCCGCUGAACUUA